GGGGAUGUGGCUCAGCGGGAGAGCGCUCGCCUAGCAUGUGUGAGGCCCUGGGCUCCAUCCCCAGCACUUCA
rnacentral:tRNA from 1 species